rnacentral:rRNA from 1 species
AUUGAACGCUGGCGGCAGGCUUAACACAUGCCAGUCGAGCGGAGAUGAGGUGCUUGCACCUCAUCUUAGCGGCGGACGGGUGAGUAAUGCUUCGGAAUCUGCCUAUUAGUGGGGGACAACAUUCCGAAAGGAAUGCUAAUACCGCAUACGUCCUACGGGGGAAAGCAGGGGAUCUUCGGACCUCGCGCUAAUAGAUGAGCCUAAGUCGGAUUAUCUAGUUGGUGGGGUAAAGGCCCACCAAGGCGACGAUCUGUAGCGGGUCUGAGAGGAUGAUCCGCCACACUGGGACUGAGACACGGCCCAGACUCCUACGGGAGGCAGCAGUGGGGAAUAUUGGACAAUGGGGGGAACCCUGAUCCAGCCAUGCCGCGUGUGUGAAGAAGGCCUUAUGGUUGUAAAGCACUUUAAGCGAGGAGGAGGCUACUGAGACUAAUACUCUUGGAUAGUGGACGUUACUCGCAGAAUAAGCACCGGCUAACUCUGUGCCAGCCGCCGCAGUAAAAC